rnacentral:rRNA from 1 species
AUGGUAUCAGUGGUAGGGGAGCGUUCUAAGUGCAGUGAAGUCAGACCGGAAGGACUGGUGGAGCGCUUAGAAGUGAGAAUGCCGGUAUGAGUAGCGAAAGACGGGUGAGAAUCCCGUCCACCGAAUGCCUAAGGUUUCCUGAGGAAGGCUCGUCCGCUCAGGGUUAGUCAGGACCUAAGCCGAGGCCGACAGGCGUAGGCGAUGGACAACAGGUUGAUAUUCCUGUACCACCUCUUUAUCGUUUGAGCAAUGGAGGGACGCAGAAGGAUAGAAGAAGCGUGCGAUUGGUUGUGCACGUCCAAGCAGUUAGGCUGAUAAGUAGGCAAAUCCGCUUAUCGUAAAGGCUGAGCUGUGAUGGGGAAGCUCCUUAUGGAGCGAAGUCUUUGAUUCCCCGCUGCCAAGAAAAGCUUCUAGCGAGAUAAAAGGUGCCUGUACCGCAAACCGACACAGGUAGGCGAGGAGAGAAUCCUAAGGUGUGCGAGAGAACUCUGGUUAAGGAACUCGGCAAAAUGACCCCGUAACUUCGGGAGAAGGGGUGCUUUCUUAACGGAAAGCCGCAGUGAAUAGGCCCAAGCGACUGUUUAGCAAAAACACAGCUCUCUGCGAAGCCGUAAGGCGAAGUAUAGGGGGUGACACCUGCCCGGUGCUGGAAGGUUAAGGAGAGGGGUUAGCGUAAGCGAAGCUCUGAACUGAAGCCCCAGUAAACGGCGGCCGUAACUAUAACGGUCCUAAGGUAGCGAAAUUCCUUGUCGGGUAAGUUCCGACCCGCACGAAAGGUGUAACGAUUUGGGCACUGUCUCAACCAGAGACUCGGUGAAAUUAUAGUACCUGUGAAGAUGCAGGUUACCCGCGACAGGACGGAAAGACCCCGUGGAGCUUUACUGUAGCCUGAUAUUGAAUUUUGGUACAGUUUGUACAGGAUAGGCGGGAGCCAUUGAAACCGGAGCGCUAGCUUCGGUGGAGGCGCUGGUGGGAUACCGCCCUGACUGUAUUGAAAUUCUAACCUACGGGUCUUAUCGACCCGGGAGACAGUGUCAGGUGGGCAGUUUGACUGGGGCGGUCGCCUCCUAAAGUGUAACGGAGGCGCCCAAAGGUUCCCUCAGAAUGGUUGGAAAUCAUUCGUAGAGUGCAAAGGCAUAAGGGAGCUUGACUGCGAGACCUACAAGUCGAGCAGGGACGAAAGUCGGGCUUAGUGAUCCGGUGGUUCCGCAUGGAAGGGCCAUCGCUCAACGGAUAAAAGCUACCCCGGGGAUAACAGGCUUAUCUCCCCCAAGAGUCCACAUCGACGGGGAGGUUUGGCACCUCGAUGUCGGCUCAUCGCAUCCUGGGGCUGUAGUCGGUCCCAAGGGUUGGGCUGUUCGCCCAUUAAAGCGGUACGCGAGCUGGGUUCAGAACGUCGUGAGACAGUUCGGUCCCUAUCCGUCGUGGGCGUAGGAAAUUUGAGAGGAGCUGUCCUUAGUACGAGAGGACCGGGAUGGACGCACCGCUGGUGUACCAGUUGUUCUGCCAAGGGCAUAGCUGGGUAGCUAUGUGCGGAAGGGAUAAGUGCUGAAAGCAUCUAAGCAUGAAGCCCCCCUCAAGAUGAGAUUUCCCAUAGCGUAAGCUAGUAAGAUCCCUGAAAGAUGAUCAGGUUGAUAGGUUCGAGGUGGAAGCAUGGUGACAUGUGGAGCUGACGAAUACUAAUAGAUCGAGGACUUAACCAU